rnacentral:rRNA from 1 species
AUUGAACGCUGGCGGCAGGCUUAACACAUGCAAGUCGAGCGGAGUGAUGGUGCUUGCACUAUCACUUAGCGGCGGACGGGUGAGUAAUGCUUAGGAAUCUGCCUAUUAGUGGGGGACAACAUCUCGAAAGGGAUGCUAAUACCGCAUACGUCCUACGGGAGAAAGCAGGGGAUCACUUGUGACCUUGCGCUAAUAGAUGAGCCUAAGUCGGAUUAGCUAGUUGGUGGGGUAAAGGCCUACCAAGGCGACGAUCUGUAGCGGGUCUGAGAGGAUGAUCCGCCACACUGGGACUGAGACACGGCCCAGACGCCUACGGGAGGCAGCAGUGGGGAAUAUUGGACAAUAGGGGGAACCCUGAUCCAGCCAUGCCGCGUGUGUGAAGAAGGCCUUAUGGUUGUAAAGCACUUUAAGCGAGGAGGAGGCUUACCUAGUUAAUACCUGGGAUAAGUGGACGUUACUCGCAGAAUAAGCACCGGCUAACUCUGUGCCAGCCGCCGCCGUAA